rnacentral:lncRNA from 1 species
GCCUUUUAAGCAAAGCUUAAACACACUGUCAUUUUGGGAAACAGAAAAUACAAAUAUGAAGAAACAGUAGGUAAAAAAAUACUUUGGGAUGAUGUUAGGAGUCAGGGGACCAGAUACAGUGGCUCAAUAUCUUAAAAAGUCACUUACCUUGUGGUAAUCCUGCUAUAAUCUCACUAGAAAUUUGGCAAAGUAUCUCUUCAUAAGCAUUUGUUUUUAAUUUAAUAGGUCUCCAAACUACUCAGGAUAAUCAGAUCAUAUUUUGGUUAACCUCGAUGUUAACCAUGAUAAAGCCAUUUGGUGCUCAUUUUUUAUCUAAAAGAUGGAAUGAUUUUUUUUGACUGCCUCUCCUCUUUACAAGUCAAUACAUUAUUUCUUUCUUCUUACAGUUAAUCUGAAAUUUAUUCUGUUUUAUAAACCUAUGCCAAAUAACCCCACUAAUAGUAAUGUGUUAAUUUUUUUCUAAUUAUUACAGUAUUUAUAGCUAAUGUUAUCCAAUUAUAUAUAUUGGACUGGAUACUGCCUUGCUUAUGUAUGAUACUUAAGUUUUGUCAAGUCAUUUACAAGGUUCUUGAAUACAGAGUCCCUAUAGUUUUCUUCUAUAUAUUUUUCUUCUUUCUAUUAGCCCACUACUAAGUUGAGAGUAGAUGCUUGAUAAUUUGUUGUCUUGAAAUCAAUUCUAAGAAUUUAAAACUAGAUAUAAACCCCUUCCCCCUCCACUAUUACCAGCUUAAUCCCAUCAACAGUUCAGAAAAAUAAGACAGGAAAUAAUUGCUUGUGAAGGGCCACACAAGAAGUUAGGUAUAAAACUACAAUUGGACCUCAGACUUUCAAACCCAUAAUUCUGAACUCAAAACAAAAGGCCACACAGCCUCCAUCUAUAUAAUUAGAUUUAGAAAGCACUCAGGAAAGCAAAGCUGCUCUUGUCCUGAAGGAAAGUUUGUGACUGUGUAUUCUUUGCAGAAAGUAAGGACUAUGGAUCUCAUUAAAAUGUCCCCAACCUCAGGAUACUAUCAGUAUAAACAUUCUUGAAGGGGAACAUAUAUUCUGGGUCUGGGAGACAAAUCCCAUCUGGUCUACCUUGGAUGGAAGGCUCCCCUACUCUGUAGUGGUUGGUUGUUUUGUUGUGUGUGGACAGCUGAGAGUCAUUUCCUCAUCUUUAUUCCAAACGAAGCUGGACACUCCCUUUUCAUUUUUGAAAAGUAAUCUGUGUGAGAAGGCAGCCAGCAUGUUUACCCACUGGGCUUGGAGCCAGACUUCUUUCCCUGGUUCUUCCUCUCUCUGUUUCUCAAUCUCCCCUGCUCUAAGAUGGCCAGAUAUGAAAAGCUGCCAAUCGGGAUGCCAGAACAUCAAAGAGAUCGCUCAUGAGAGCACACAAAGUCCCAUUUGUUCAGCACUUGGACGGAGAUGCCAGCAGCUUCCAGGCAGAGGGAGAAUCGAAGGUUUGUCUUCACUUGACUUCUCGCUCACACCAUCUGGCUGAUGGAGAAUCCUUUCAUUUCUUCCCGUGGCUGGACCAAAGGGAGAAUGACUGUGAAUAGAAGUGCCUUUUCAACCUUCACUUGUAUCCAUUUUUAAAAGGACAAAUAAGCAUUAUUCACAAUAGCAAGAUGUGGGAACAACUCAAGUGUUAAUCAACAGAUGAGUGGAUAAAGAAAAUGUGCUAUACAUGUACAGUGUGAUAUUAUUCAGCUUUACAAAGGAAGGAAAUCCUGCCAUUUAUGGACAAUGUGGAUGAACCUGGAGGACAUUAUGCUAAGCAAAAUAAGCCAGUACCAAAGGCAAGUUCAAACUCAGAAGGCGAAAGUCCAGCGGAAAGUACCGGAACUGAGGGAAAACUAUUUGCCUAACCACCCACACCACUGAAUGCUUUCUUGGAAUCUGCUGUGUGUUUAAGAUGAUAUCCUACCCACACACAUGUAACCUUUACCUUUUUGCAAACCAAAUCUGAUUCUACAAGGAAAGCACAAAAAUAAAAAUAUUUUUCUCUCAAAUUAUAUCAGAUUUGUUUCUGCUCAAAUUAUCUCAGACUAGUUUUAAAAAUUGU